GGCUGGGCAACCACAGAGCUGGAGCCCUGCACCUGCAAAGAUGCUUUCUUAAUCCCCACCUGGGCUGUCAAAGAGCUCCUUUGGGCUCUAGCAGUGGUGUGUGGACGUGCAGGCUUUUGGAUGUCAGCUCCCAGACCCUUUGCUGUCCUCCAGGUUCAGGUGUCUGAGGAGAACAGGUCGUGCUAACACCAGCGUUGCCCAGUGCCUGGAUAAGAUCAGCUGGGGCAUGAAGAACGGCCGGGCGGUGGUGAACCUUGUGCAACGGUGGUGGUGGGGGCCAGUCUGAAGAGCUGGGCUGGAGCGAGGUUGGAGGCUCGCUCAGAGAGCUCGGAGCUGCCGUCGUGUGAAUACAGAGCGCUGCAGCAGUGACUUCCAGGCUGCCCUUUGGGCUGAAGUCCUUCCUACUGCAGUUCCCGAAAUGCUCCGUGACCAAAAUACACAUGGAGCGCGUUUUGGGUGUCCUUGGACGUGCUCCUUAAUUGCCUCCUUUCCCCCUUUCCAAUGGGGAUGGCAACACCGCCCUGCGGUUGUGUCUCCCGCACCUGCCUGUGAGCGGUGCGGGGGACAGGAGCAGCAGCCCUUGCUCCGUGCCUGGGCAGCCGUUUGUGCAACGAGCCCUCGUGUGCUCAGCUGGGGCUGCUGUCCUCCUGGAAAGCACGAGGUUCCCGGAGCACAGAGGUGUCAGAAAUUCCUUGAACCCUUGGAACGGGCAGGCGCCGGAGGGCCGGCCGGCAUCCGACGCGGCAGCGCGAAGCCCCACGUGGCCUGCACAAGGCCCCCGCUCCGGCCCGGCCAGGCGGCCUCCCCCAUGAGCCGCUCCGGUUCCUGCUCCUGGAGAUUUGCAGCCGGGGAGACGGGAGGUGAAAUUCUGGGAGCCCCGGAAAGGCGAAGCGCGUGUUGGAGAUGGGAUCCUGCUGCUGCACCUCCUCCGACCUCUGCCUGGGCUCCAGCCUCCCCUGAACGCGGAGCUGAAACCCACUCCAGGGAGUCGCUGACCCAGGUUUGCGCCCGUCGCGGCCGCCGCUCGCCGCCCGGUUUUGCAGCAGGUUGGCUCUGCGGCGAGCUGCGGGUCGGCUCUGACGGAUGACAAAGCGCUCAUUUAAAUGCGCACCGUGCUGCCGGCGAGUCCAUUAGGGGAAUUAAUUUGAAUGGAUGGCAUUUAAUAAACAGCCUCGUGCCUCCUCUCCCCCUUCCCGC
rnacentral:lncRNA from 1 species